rnacentral:rRNA from 1 species
GACGAACGCUGGCGGCGUGCUUAACACAUGCAAGUCGAACGGUGAAGCGCCUUCCUUUUUGGUGGGUGGGGAGGAGUGGCGAACGGGUGAGUAACACGUGAGUAACCUGCCCCUUUCUUCUGGAUAACCGCAUGAAAGUGUGGCUAAUACGGGAUAUUCUGGGUCUGUCGCAUGAUGGGUCUGGGAAAGAUAUUGUUUCGGUGGGGGAUGGGCUCGCGGCGUAUCAGCUUGUUGGUGGGGUGAUGGCCUACCAAGGCGGCGACGGGUAGCCGGCCUGAGAGGAGGGUCAGCCACAAUGGAAGGGAGACGAGGUGCAGCAGACUACGAGAGGCAGCAGUGGUGAGUAAUGGAGCACGGUGGGAAGAAGGAUGAAGCCGCGACGCGUCGGGGGAGAUGGCGGCCUGGGUGUUAUGAACCUCUGUCGCGAAUGAAACACAGCAGCCUAGUUUGUGGGUGGUUUGACGGUACCUGGAGAAGAAGCGCCGGCUAACUUCGUG